GUUCAAUCAGCCAAUUCUAGUGGAACUAUGUAUUAGUGGUGAAGAACCCAAAAAAAAAAAUCAUCUAUACUAUAACAAGUGGCUGUUGAAGUAAAUAAUGAAUUUUGCUAAAGAUAUUGGAAAGGAGAAAACAAAGCAUCAAGCAUUCAUGACAAAACUCCAUGAGCUUCCAUUUGCUUCCAAGUUCCAGCUAUCUAAAUAUCAAUCAAAUCUGCCAAGAAUGAAUUAUAUUAGAAUUUAAUAAUAUUUUGUAUAAAUAGUAGAAUGACAAUCUUGUUAAAUCACAGGUAACGUACCCGCAGUU
rnacentral:lncRNA from 1 species